GAUGAACGCUGGCGGCGUGCCUAAUACAUGCAAGUCGAGCGAAAAGACGAGGAGCUUGCUCCUCUGACGUUAGCGGCGGACGGGGGAGUAACAUGUGGAUAACCCACCUAUAAGACUGGGAUAACCUCGGGAAACCGGUGCCAAUACCGGCUAAUAUAUUCAACCGCAUGGAUCAAUAGUGAAAGACGGCUUUGCUGCCACUUAUAGAUGGAUCCGUGAGGGAUUAGCUAGUUGGUGAGGUAACGGCUUACCAAGGCGACGAUGCGUAGCCGACCUGAGAGGAUGAUCAGCCACACUGGAACUGAGACACGGUCCAGACUCCUACGGGAGGCAGCAGUGGGGAAUCUUGCACAAUGGGCGAAAGCCUGACGGAGCAACGCCGCGUGUGUGAUGAAGGUCUUCGGGUCGUAAAGCUCUGUUAUUAGGGAAGAACAAAUGUAUGAGUAACUCUGCACGCCUUGACGGUACCUAAUCAGGAAGCCACGGCUAACUACGUG
rnacentral:rRNA from 1 species